rnacentral:lncRNA from 1 species
GGGGAAACAGAAUAGAGAGGAACUGUCUCUAAGGCAGCCUGCACCAGGUUGAUAAAAUCUGAUAGUUGUAGCAACUCUAGGUGGGAAUAAAGAAAAUUACAUGAUUCAGCCUACAGUUAUUUAAAAUCAUUCCAUUACAAUUUCCUUUGGAACAGCUUUGAGAGGCUGAGCCAUUUGUAAAGAGAGGGCAAACUGUCUUCCAAGUUCAUAGUCUCAGGUACAACUCCAUCUUCAAGCUUCCAAUCAAAGCAGUUAAUGAGUGAACCCAGCAUCAAGUGCAACAUUCUCAUUGCCAAUGGCAAACCUGGACAGAUUCUCCUCCCAGCCCCAAACGGAAGAAGUUCAAAAAUUUUUCCCAUAACAUCAAUUUGGUUCUCUAAUCCUAAGAACCUCUCCGGCAUAAAAGAGUUUGGAUUGUCCCAAAUGUUGGGGUCUCUGCUCAUGGCCCAAACAUUAACUACAACCAGUGCACCCUUCGGGACAAUUUAUUCCCCUAUUUCUACAUCAGUUUCAGCUUUUCGUGGUAGCAAUGGACCUACUGGGCGCAAGCGAAAGGUUUCCUUGAUUAUUGCUUGUAAGUAAGGGAGUCUAGCAAUAUCGGAUUCCUCGAUUGGUUUUCCUUUUCCAAUCAUUUGAUCCAGCUCUUCUUUAGCUUUAGAAAGGCACUUUGGGUUGUGUAGUAGCUCCGCCAUUGCCCAUUCCAAUGCUGAACUUGUUUCUGUACCCGCAACAAAUAGAACCUACACAUUCACCGUGAGUUAGUGACUACGUUUGGAAAGUAAUGUUAAACAGAGACAAGCGUGGCCCACGGAUCACAUUGUACCGAUUUUGUUAAACUUAACCACAUUUAAUUAAGGUGUUGGGUUUUAAUCACAAAAUGUCUCGAUACAAUUGAAUAAGGUCCAUCCACUUAUAAGUUAUAUUUUAUUUGUCAUUUUUCUGACGUGGGAUCUAUUCCUCUCCAAUACUUCCAACAAGUAAAACCUGCUGUGCACUUUGAAUCUUUAUCAAAUUGAAGAUGUCAUCAUUUAGAGAACAAAUAAUCAGUAAUUAAGGUAUUAUUGAAGUGACUAUUCAAGAAGAACAGAAGAGUAGAUAGAGAGUGGACAGUAGACUAACCAUUAACAAAUAUUCAACAACUUUGGGGUUGUUCAAAUCUUCCUCAUUUUCCUCUUCUCUGAGGUCUAUUAGAGUAUCCAACAGAUCAUUACUUGUCACAUAAUCAUCCCUUUUUCUACAUUCCAACCGUUGACUGAUCACUGAUUCAAAUAAGCUUAACAUCUUGUUGUGGUAAAUUGUAAAGCUCCGCCUUCUGCCUUGGGGAUCAAUCUUCCUAAGCACAGGAAAAUAGUCCCCUAAAUUCGGUUUCCCAGCCUCUUCUAGCAUACCUUUAGCAUUCUUCUGAAACUCUUUAGUCAUCUCGCUGCUGCUACUCAAGUCAUCAUCAGCCAAAUCCACUGAGAGAACAGUUCUUGACAGCAAAUCAAGUGAAGUUUUGAAGGCAGCCUUUCCAAUAUCUACUGCCAAACCCUUUACCAUGCUGUCAUUGACACUAGCUAUGAGCUCUUGCACUUUUGCUCUCCGGUUUUCUUUGUUGGCAUCAAGAACUCUGGUGGUAAAGAGUUGGGAGGUGCAUAUUUUCCGCAGAUUUUUCCACCUUGGUGAUACUGGCAUCCACGGCAAGCUGUCAGCCGCUACUCGCAGCGCAUCUGGGAUUGGUUUGUUGCAGAACAAUUGGUCAUGGAUUCGGAGGAUUUCUUUGGCCAUGGUUGGUGAAGAAACUACUAUAGUGGUUAUCUGGCCUAGUUUCAAAGACAUAAUGGAGCCAUAGUGUUGUGAGAGCUUGGUCAAAGAGAUAUGAGGUUUGUCUCCAAGAUCAAAGAGAUUUCCAACCAAUGGAAAUGGCUUUGGUCCUGGUGGAAGCCUAACUUUGGUUCUUCUAUGGAGGGCUUGGAUUAAGAAGCAGGAGAUAAAGCACAGACACAACAGUGUACCAGACAAGAAGUCCAUCUUUCGCUAACAAAUUAGCUUCAUUCACAACUCCAACGCCAACUCUCUUUGAGCUUAACUUAUAGGAUGAGUUGAGCUAGAAUGCUAGAUCAUGAAUUAUGGACGGUGUAUUCACAUGUGGUAUAGAUUUGCAAGGAAAAGUUUCUCUUUCUCAAUUAAUCAAUUUCAUGUUAGAAAAAUUGGUUAUGAAAUUAAAUGUAGUGAGAGGCUGAUAAUCCCCUCCUAUCCUCGAUCAUCAAGCUAUGAGAAAAGGUGCAAUAUGCCUCUUACAGCUUGGUCGACUCUUCUUCAGCCAUACUUCAACCAUGUCUCCAUCAGAUAUAGUAAAAUCUGGAUUGAAUCAUUGAAAUUUAAACAAAAAGACAGAAAAACUUAUGAGGAAGACCUAUAAAUCACCACCUAACAGCUAACCGAGCCAGCAACUACAACUAGUAUUUCAUAUAUAACCGGCAAGAGCCGCAGGAUGCUUACCAUUCUCUACGAAUGCGCAACCCAUUGUGGAAUUAUGUGUUCUGCAACAUUUCAUGAUUAACAGAAUAGUUAAAUGAAUGAAUCAGUGCCAUCUUAGGAUGUUGUGUUGAUAUCUGAGUAUUUCUCCUUGAAAUGCUUUUCCUGUAGUGUCUUUUUUUUAUUUUCUUGUUUUUCAGACUAUCUUGAACUAACUCAGUGCAUAUGUUUGUGAAAUCUUCUUAUAAAUGAUCACUAACAUAUAGAUUCUUUUAUUGUUUGAUAUGAUCAAAAAUGUAAAAUUGAGGAGCAGUGGGAGCAACGUCUUGCGGAAUUAUAACUUAUACUUUUGAGUCUUAUAUUGUUGCAAUCAUUUUGCACUUUUGCUGUUAAUUGUAUGAUCUACAGAUCCAUGAUACAUUAUGAAUGAACAAAAUUUUGAUUGAGUUUUGAUUAUAUCUCAAUAGCGUUGUAUCAUUAUCUUCAUGCCUAUAUAAUAUUUAUCUGCAAAGGACGUGUAUAGAACUACUUAUGUUUGAGGUUAUCAUGAAUCAGCCCUGAGUUUGAGAUAUAGUUAUUGGUAUUGGUUUAUACAUUCAUGUUUAUGACUUGAAAUAUCUAACAAUUAAUCUAUGCUAACAAUUGAUCUGUGCUAACUGCUAAGGGUAAACCCAGAAAUUACUGAUGGGUAAAAACAUCCCUCCUUAUUUGGAGGAGAAGUCGAUUGCCUCAUGCCCAUCAAUCUACAAUGAGGCAAGUUGUUAUUCUAUAGCUAGCGUAGUUGGUGCAGCAUGCAUUUGUUGAAAUGCAAGAGAGCAACCUAUGUAUAUAGAUGUGGUGGCCGGCUGCAAAUAUUGAAAUGGAAGAGCAUACAUUAAUGUGGUAUGAAAACAUUGAGCAUGAAAUAAGGAAGACUUGUGGAAUUCUCUUCCAAGUGAUGGACGUGCAUGAAGAUAGCAUGCAUAUAUUUGCAUAUAUAAAGAGGCAUUUACAAUGGUGCAAAAUAUAGAAGAAUCGGAGCUCAUCUUGUGUGAUCAUCAAGAGUGAGAUAGAAAACUCUUAAGUAGAGAGUCUGUGUGUGUAGCAAAACAAAGUGUGUGUGAGAGUGUAUCCCUUCAAGUGUGAGUCUUGAGGCUAAAAACAUCCGUCCUUAUUUGGAGGAGAAGUCAAUUACCGUAUGUCCAUCAAUCUACAAUGAGGCAAGUUGCUAUUCUAUAGCUACCAUAGUUGGUGCAACAUGCAUUUGUUGAAAUGCAAGAGAGCAACCUAUAUAUAUAGAUGUGGUGGCCGGCUGCAAAGAUUGAAAUGGAAGAGCAUGCAUUAAUGUGGCAUGAAAACAUUGAGCAUGAAACAAGAAAGACUUGUGGAAUUCUCUUCCAAGUGAUGGACGUGCAUGAAGAAUGCAUGCAUAUAUUUGCUUAUAUAUAGAGGCAUUUGCAAUGGUGCAAAAUAUAGAAGAACCAGAGGUAAUCUUCUGUGAUCAUCAAGAGUGAGAUAGAAAACUCUUAAGUAGAGAGUUUGUGUGUGUAGUAAAACAAAGUGUGUGUGAGAGUAUAUCCCUUCAAGUGUGAGUCUUGAAGUAGUGUUUCUCUCGCUGUAACCUUUAUUCGUAUAGUGGAGGUUUUUUGUUGUUGUUGCCACGUGGACAUAGGCAUUUUGCCGAACCACGUUAAUUUUCGGUGUUCUUUAUCAUUUUAUUUCCGCUACAUUUUACAUUUGUGGUUUUGAGUUUCCGAUUUCAUUCUACAGUUUAUUCUUCUGCAUAACCCAACAACUACUGCAUUUAUGUUGUUGUCUUACUUUAUGCUGCCAAGGUAGUUGUGUAUGCAAAGUGAUAUGCUGAAUUGCUGAUACAUGUUAUAAAGUAUAUUUUGUGACUACUUGUAUUUUUAUUAAUUUUAAGAAAAUAAGAUAGUGUAUUUUAUUUAUUUUAUUUGUUUGUUUAGCAGUAAUUUAAAUUCAUAAUUAUGUGUGUAGUGUAUAUUUAUUUAUGUAUAUAUGUAAAUAUACCAGCCCAUUAAUUUUGUUUUUAGACCCAAGUCCAAUUUAAGAAAAAGCCCAAGACCAAUAGAUGACUUAAACUCAAGUCGACAUGAUACUCACAAUGGACUCAUUCAUCCCCAUUCUUGUGAGCUCAUCAGUCAUCAACGAACUUUCUCUCCGAAAUGUGCUUCCCGAUGCCUACUCUUCUCUUGAUAUGAGAUUCAGCUUGCUGUUUAUAGGAAAAAACAAUGGUUUGGUUUGCUAUUUUCUCUAAGUGACUCUCAGACAGGUUCAAAUUACCUUAAUUUCAUUUGCCAUUACUUUUCUCUGCUUCAUUUAUUGUUUAACGAAAUGUGAUCCCCUUAAUAAACAGCUUGAUCUAAUUUUGUGUAUGUCAAAUGAUGUGUCGUUCUAUACUUGUAUUAUUCAGACCACAUAUUUGCUCAAAAUAAUGAUGCAAUGGCCACCUAUUUUUGACGGAAGCAAUGGCCUCCUAUCUUCGACGGAAGCAAUGGCCUCCUAUCUUCGACGGAAGUAAUGAUCUCAUUAUCAAUACUCAAUAAUUCAGAUUGGUGCCUUGUACCACAAGCAACCUAACAGUGAGCAUAAGUCCUAGAUAUCAAACAUCCAUUUUACGUCUUUUUCCCUCCAUUCAUCAUAGUCGAAAAUUAGCCAUAGUCGAACUACUUAUGAAGGCGUUCCGAGUAGGGAAAGAAAAGCAGCCAUACUUGUAGUCUAUGACUGAGGGACGUACAUGCUGAUGGACUGCUGUAAAAGUAAUGAUCAGAGCUUCUUGCAAGCUGCAAAUAAUAAAAAUCACUAAACCUUCAUGGAAAUAUACAAGAAAGUUUACUUCAUUUAUUUUAUAACGAAAUAAAUACAAGGGGAAACAGAAUAGAGAGGAACUGUCUCUAAGGCAGCCUGCACCAGGUUGAUAAAAUCUUAUAGCUAUAGCAACUCUAGGUGGGAAUAAAGAAAAUUACAUGAUUCAGCCUACAGUUAUUUAACAUCAUUCCAUUACAAUUUCCUUUGGAACAGCUUUGAGAGGCUGAGCCAUUUCUAAAGAGACGGCAAACUUGUCUUCCAAGUUCAUAGUCUCAGGUACAACUCCAUCUUCAAGCUUCCAAUCAAAGCAGUUAAUGAGUGAACCCAGCAUCAAGUGCAACAUUCUUAUUGCCAAUGGCAAACCUGGACAGAUUCUCCUCCCACCCCCAAACGGAAGAAGCUCAAAGUUUUGUCCCAUCACAUCAAUUUGGUUGUCUGAUCCUAAGAACCUCUCUGGCAUAAAAGAGUUUGGAUUGUCCCAAAUGCUGGGGUCUCUGCCUAUAGCCCAAAUAUUAUCUAGAACUUGUGCACCCUUCGGGACAAUGUAGACCCUGAUUUCUACUUCUGUUUCAGCUUUUCGUGGCAGUAGCAUUGGAAUCACCGGGCGCAGGCGGAAAGUUUCCUUGAUUAUUGCUUGUAAGUAAGGGAGUCUAGCAAUGUCGGAUUCCUCGAUUGGUUUUCCUUUUCCAACCAUUUGAUCCAGCUCUUCUUGAGCUUUAGAAAGGCACUUUGGGUUGUGCAGUAGCUCCGCCAUUGCCCAUUCCAAUGUGACUGAAGUUGUUUCUGUGCCAGCAGAAAAUAGAGCCUACCAUGCACAGUGAGUCAGUGACUAAUUGUUUAGAAAGUUACUCUACUCUGCACUGCACUUUGAAUCUUUAUUUAUUUAAUUGAAUACUUAAGAGUGUAAAAUGUCAGUAAUUAAAGCAUGAAGUGAGUAUUCAAGAAGAACAGGAAGAGUAGAGGAGACUAACCAUAAACAAAUCUUCAAUAACAUUAGGGUUGUUCAAAUCCUUAUCAUUUUCCUCUUCUCUGAGGUCUAUAAGAGUAUCCAACAUAUCAUUACUUGCAACAUAAUCAUCCCCUUUUCUAAAUUCCAAUCUUUUUCUGAUCACUGAUUCAAAUAGGCCUAACAUCUUGUUGUAUUGAUUCGUAAAGCGCCGCCUUCUGCCUUGGGGAUCAAUCUUCUUAAGCACAGGAAAACAGUCCCCUAAAUUUGGUUGUCCAGCCUCGUCUUUCACACUAGUGACAAACUUAUUGACCUCUUUAGUCAUCUCGCUGCUGCUACUCAAGUCAUCAUCAGCCAAAUCCACUGAGAGAACAGUUCUUGACAGCAAAUCAAGUGAAGUUUUGAAGGCAGCCUUUCCAAUAUCUACUGCCAAACCCUUUACCAUGCUGUCAUUGACACUAGCUAUGAGCUCUUUGCACUUUCGCUCUCCGGUUUUCUUGAUUGGCAUCAAGAACUCUGGUGGCAAAGAGUUGGGAGGUGCAUAUUUUCCGAAGAUUUCUCCACCUUGGUGAUACUGGCAUCCACGGCACGCUGUCUUCCAUUGCUCGAAGCGCAUCUGGAAUUGUUCUGUUGCAAAACAAUUGGUCGUGGAUUCGGAGGAUUUCUUUGGCCAUGGUUGGUGAAGAAACUACUACAGUGGUUAUCUGGCCAAGCUUCAAAGACAUAAUGGAGCCAUAGUGUUGUGAGAGGUUGGUCAAAGAGAUAUGAGGUUUGUCUCCAAGAUCAAAGAGAUUUCCAACCAAUGGAAAUGGCUUUGGUCCUAGUGGAAGCCUAACUCUGGUUCUUCUAUGGUGGGCUUGGAUUAAGAAGCAGGAGAUUAAACACAGACACAACAGUAUACCAGACAAGAAGUCCAUCUUUCACUAACAAAUUAGCUUCAAUCACAAGUCCAACUCCAACUCUCCUUGAGCUUAACUUAUGGGGAUGAGUUGAGCUAGAUUAUGAAUUAUUGGCCAUCUAUAUAUUCACAUGUGGUAUAGAUUUCAAUGGUGAAGUUACUCUUUAUAGCAACAUUAUAGGACUUUCUCAAUUUCGUAUCUGAGGGCAUAUCUGAGACGUCCGAGCAUAUCCAGGUGUAUCCAAGUGUAUAAAGGACGAUUGAAGUUGAGUGAUAUAGAUUUGAAAGGUAUCAUCAGUUCAUUUUCCAAAGCCAGAAAUAUGUGGACACCUCUGUUUUAAAUGGUCUAGGAAAGAGCCAUCACUUUUCUCUGCUUCAAUAUUUAUUGUUUAACGAAAUGUGAUCAUCUUAAUAAUCUAAUUUUGUGUUUGUCAAAUGAUGUGUUCUAUUCAAACCACAUAUUUGCUCAAAAUAAUGAUGCAAUGGUCACCUAUCUUCGACGGAAGCAAUGGCCUCCUAUCUUUGACGGAAGUAAUGGCCUCAUUAUCAAUACUCAAUAAUUCAGAUUGGUGCCUUGUACCACAAGCAACCUAACAGUGAGCAUAAGUCCUGGAUAUCAAACAUCCAUUUUACUUCUUUUUACUUCAAUUCAUCAUUUUGGGGAGUAGUUUCGGCUAAUUAAUGACUCUUGACUUGUUGAGCCUGCGUGCAGUUUGUUAGCUAGGGUCGAACUCUUAUCUCAUAGCUUUGCCUGCAAGCCUUGCAUUCCCUUGCAGGAAAAGGAAAAUCUGCCAUAAUCGAAAUACGGAUGAAGGCGUUCCGAGUAGGGAAAGAAAAGCACCCGGUACUUGUAGUCUAUGACUGAGAUGUUAAGGAUAAAGAUAUAAUUACCUCCUCAUGGUCUUGGUGUAAAUAGCAGGCCUUUCUUUCGAACUCUGUAAUACAAGCUCUUUCUCUCAAUCUCUUUGUUUUUCUUAAUCAGCUUUCAUGGUAUCAAGAGCCUUGGUUUCGUUCUUGGAGCAUUGAAGGCCUUCUCUCUCAUUUUUCUUCUGCGCGUUUUAGUUUUCUUAGUAUCAGAAAUUCAGAAUUGUUUUUCCCAAUUUCAAAACCCUAACCCCAAUUUCAGUUUCAAUUUCGAAGCAUUCUCUUCUCCUCGGUCUGUCACCGGCACGUCCCGAUUCGUCACCGUCCUUCCUUGACUCGUUCUCCUUUCUCCGAUUUGGUCGCCGACCUCGACUUGCUACAAUGUUCGAUCGGGUUUGGGAUUGGAAAUUGGCUCAUCAGAGAUUGCUUUGAGUUUCAAAUUUAGAUAAGUUCACCUUUGUUGAGAAGGAUAAAUUUUGGUUUUCUAUCAAGAUUGUUGAUAGUUGUGGAUUUGAAGCCUUGGAUUUGUGAUUAGAGUAUACUACAUGCAUAUUCAGUUAGUUCUUUGUCUGCAAAUUCAGAUAAGUUCUUCCUCAAAAUUGAUCAGAUUGAGUACAAAUUGAUGAAAGAUUGGUUCAAUAUCAGAAUUGGGUAGUAAAUUUUUCAGUUGGUUAUUCCUGGAAACAUUGGAAAGUAAGUGAUACUUUUUAUGAUUGAUAUUUGAUUUGAUAUUAGCAAGACUAUCAUUGGUUCUGAGUUCUAUUUGUUGAAGAUUUAUGCUCCGUCAGACUUCUAUUCUAGCAUUGUUUAGGUGAAGAUAAAUUGGUGGCAUUUGGGGUUUGUUCAGAUAAUUGGUGUUAUUGGGAAGCUUUCAUUGUGAGUUAUGAGUAAGAACUUGGAGCUACAGAAUUGCUUACUCGUCAACUUCAAAAAUUUUAUUUCAAUCCAGUUAGACGACUCUAACUAUGUUACCUGGAAAUUUCUUGUAGAGACACUAUUAACAGGUUGUGGCCUAAUGAGAUAUGUUGAUGGGUCAUUCCCUUGUCCCCUAGAAUAUAAGACUUUGGAAGAAAAUGGGGUUGCAUUUCAUGCGUACAUGAGUUGGGUGCAGAAUGAUUGUACUGCUAUGUCUUUACUUGCUGCUACCUUGUCCAGUAAUGCUCUCUCCUUCAUUGUUGGAAGUAAGACUUCUAAAGAGAUUUGGUGCCAACUUAAGGAGAAAUAUGUUGAUACUUCACGGUAUAACAUAAUGAAGCUCAAAUCCUCAUUGUACAACAUCCAGAUUGGUUCAGACUCUAUUGACAAGUACUUACUCCGAGUCAAGGAAAUUUGUGAUCAGCUUGCUACUUUAGGAGUUUCUAUGGAUGAUGAAGAAAUAAUAGUCUCAGUGCUUAAUGGUUUGCCAUCAGCGUUUGCUGCGAUCAAAACCAUAAUAAGGAUUAAAAGUCUGAGCUCCCCUGUUUCAAUGGUAGAAUUAAGAUCUCUUUUGUUGAUUGGUGAAGAUGAGAUUGCUCAAACAAUGAAGUCUGUUUCUAUGUCUUUGGAGACUGCUAUGGCUGCAUGUGGUGAUACUUCCAGAGGUACUGUUCAUUCUCAUUCUUUGGAUAAUAGCAGUUUACCUAAUUCGGAAAUGGUUAGCUCAUCUUCUACAUCUGCUGUUAUUAUUUCAAACACUAAUGCUCUUACCAGCAACUAUUCAAAACCUGUUACUCAAUUUGGUUAUGUGUCUCAACCAAAUGUUAUAUCUACCACUCCGGGUGUAUAUGAUGUUAUAUGAUGUUAUAUCUUCUAUAUCUACCAAAUGUUAUCUGCUUGCCCUACUAGAUACAUUAUGCACUUAAUGCCUAGUACUGAGUAUAUGAUGUCUUCUGGUGGUUAUUCUCCUUCUAACAAUGGUUUGGUUCAGUCACAAGUCAACACAAGAUGUAUUCGACCCAAGGGUAGUAUUCGAUACAAUGGAGGAUUUGUUGGGUCUCAUGGUUUUAUGCAACAAGGUAUUGAUAAGUAUUGGCAAAGCAAUAAUUACUGUGGUCAAAAUAAGAACAAUGGUAUCUAUGGACAGGGAUUCAAGCUCAGUUCAGAUGGUAGCAGGGCUGUUUCUCUUGUGCAUAAUAAUCAAGGUACUCAAGCAAGGUCUAGCGACUCUCAAAGCGUGUGUUCUUCUGCAGAUAUUUGUCAUAUAUGCAAUCAAUUCGGCCAUUUUGCAGGAACUUGUCCUCAAAGACCUGCUUCUCGACAAGUUGUUGCAUCUGGAUCUUAUAUGCGAUGUCAAAUUUGUUUGAAGACUGGUCACAGUGCAGCAGAAUGUUUGCAUAAGCAGCAUUAUGAUUUUUUACCACUAACUCAAGAAGAGCAUCAAGCUAUGAAUGCUUCCUUCUUCUCUCAAUCAACGGCAACAUCCAUUCCUACUGAAUCUACUUUUGUGUCCAGCAACUCUUCAUCUUCCAUUGAGAUUUCAAAUGGUAAUGCUUCUUGUUCUGCCACUUCAGUUUCCUCUGAGAGAUCAGAAUGGCAACAUGAAUGCCUCAAGCAACUUGCAGCUUUAUCAAUUCAAGGCACUAAGCAGUUCAUGUCUACUCCUUUGAAUAAAACUACACUAUUAUAGGCAGACCUCUCAUCCUUCAAGGCUAUGUCACUCACUGUCAUUGAUUUCUCCUGGUUGAUUUACAUAGCAAUCUGAUGUUAGUUGUCCCUCCCAUCCGCUUGAAAAGGGGGGGGGUUUGUUAAGGAUAAAGAUGUAAUUACCUCCGCAUGGUCUUGGUAUAAAUAGCAGGCCUUUCUUUCGUGUAAGAGAUUAGAACCCUAACUCUGUAAUACAAGCUCUUUCUCUCAAUCUCUUUGCUUUUCUUAAUCAGCUUUCAUGAGAGACAUACAUUCUGAUGGAAUGCUGUAAAAGUAAUUAUCAGAGCUUCUUGCAAGUUGCAAAUAAUAAAAAUCACUAAACCUUUAUUUAUUUUAUAACGAAAUAAAUACAAGGGGAAACAGAAUAGAGAGGAACUGUCUCCAAAGGCAGCCUGCACCAGGUUGAUAAAAUUACAUUUUUUUUUUUUUGGCUGAAAGAUGAGUGAGAGAGAGGAAUGAUCCCCUAACAUUUUUAUGCAUUAAAAAAGAAAAGAAGAGAGAAACAUCAAAAUUAGACCAAAAUCUCUCGCAACAAAAUAACAACGAAACAAAACUGGAAAACCGAAAUCGGAUAAAAUUACAUGAUUCAGCCUACAGUUAUUUAACAUCAUUCCAUUACAAUUUCCUUUGGAACAGCUUUGAGAGGCUGAGCCAUUUCUAAAGAGACGGCAAACUUGUCUUCCAAGUUCAUAGUCUCAGGUACAACUCCAUCUUCAAGCUUCCAAUCAAAGCAGUUGAUGAGUGAACCCAGCAUCAAGUGCAACAUUCUCAUUGCCAAUGGCAAACCUGGACAAAUUCU